rnacentral:rRNA from 1 species
UACAGGGGGUGCAAACGUUGCUCGGAAUUACUGGGCGUAAAGGGCUCGUAGGUGGCCAACUAAGUCAGACGUGAAAUCCCUCGGCUUAACCGGGGAACUGCGUCUGAUACUGGAUGGCUUGAGUUCGGGAGAGGGAUGCGGAAUUCCAGGUGUAGCGGUGAAAUGCGUAGAUAUCUGGAGGAACACCGGUGGCGAAGGCGGCAUCCUGGACCGGCACUGACACUGAGGAGCGAAAGCCAGGGGAGCAAACGGG